rnacentral:lncRNA from 1 species
AUUAAAUCCUAUAAGAAAAAUUCGAAAUGCAAAUCGGUUAACAUUUUUUAUUUCUAAUUGGCACAAUGAGCACCCAAUUGAACAUGAAGAUCAAUUUAUUUAUUAUAUAUAGAGAUAGACAAAAAUGAAAUGCACAAUAUAACAAAAUGAUUUUAUGACAAUCAAUCGACGCCAAAUUUGGUAAUUUUUUUAUUAUCCUUAUAGAACAUAUCGAUGCCUACAGUACAAAGAAAGUAUUGUUAAUGUAGGCAGUGAGAGAAGUUUUGAUCAUAUGAAAAAAAACAUAUGGAUUUUUAUCAAAUUCUUAUUAAACUCAACUCUCAGUACCUCACUUUUACAAAUCGAACGUCUCUUAUUCGAAUAGUCAAAGUUAGUAGGUCAAGUGAUAUGCAAUAUAUGUACAGUAGUUGACAAAGGACCACCUUUACAAGAUUUAAGGAUUGUUGUUCCAAAUAAAGAAUCUGGGUAAGAGAACAAAAAUUGUUGUGCUACUGCUCUAUUGAAGUAAUAGCUUUGGAAAAUAAGUUUUAAAGACGUGAAUGAGUUCCUAGUUGAAGCUAUUUACUGAAAUAGUUAUUACCCAACUGCAAAUGAACUCAUUUAACUUUUGCGAAUGAAAAUUAUUUUUAAAAAAUAUUACUUAAGUAGCACAAAAAAAGAAUGUUUUGUGCUGUCUUAUCUAAAUUUUUUCACCUGAAGAGUAUUGAUCAAAUCUUUUAAAGUUAGCCCUUUGUGACCUCUUAUACAAAUUUUACAUGCCACCUUACAGCCUAACUUCGACUAUUUUGACGAGAGACAUUUGAUUUGUAAAAACAAGGUAUUCAGAGUUGAAUUUAAUAAGGAUGUGAUAUAAAAUUAGUUGGGUUUAUGAUAUCUUACCUGAUUAUGGUACACCAUUUCUAGUCCCAGGUCCAGGAAGAUUAAUUAGCUUAUUGCACAAGGCCACAGAGCAUCAAACCAUGAUUUGAAAGGAAAAUUAGUUGAAGGCAUGUAGGUAUAGAACAACAUGAAGUAUUCAUGCUUAAAUACUAUAGUAGGACUCCAUCUUUUGUGAUAUGAAAUAAAGCAUCUGAAGAUGGAUUGAUGGGAAGGAACUUAUCGAUCAUCUUUUGUGAUACUAUCGAUCAAGAAUGAACUGUAUAAUCGAUGAAGUAGAAUGAUGAACCUGCUUACUAUGUAUUGCUUUUCAAAUUCCUUGACAGAUUUAACUUAGAAAGUAUUUCGUCAAUAUAUGUUGGUGAGCUGAAGACAUUUAAAAAUGUGACAAGAAGCAAGUGAAUCAUAGUUGGUUUAUUUGUAGGGAUAAGUAUAAUGUGUUAGGGUAUCUUAUCUAAUCUAAAGGAUUGGCAGACAUUUAUUUGACGUAAAAAGUAUUUGAAGUUUGCACACGUAAUGAACUCAAAUAUAAAAUAAAAAUUUACGAGACUAACCAAAUGCAAUACAUGGGAGGUUCCUCAUCAUAAUGAGGAGUAUCUUCCACGAAGGAAAGUGUAAAAUGGUCUAUAACAAAAGCUCCAUCAAGUGAAAAAUAUUUACAUUGAAGCAUAUUAAACAUUGUAUUCAUUGAUCAGAACAAUUAGCCCAUGUUUGAGUCACGUUCUAGGAAAAAAAUGCAUCUUUCAUAUCAAAUCAAUGGAAAAUGUGCGGUUAAAAAAUAAGGAAAAGUUUUAGAUUUAUGUGUAAUAUUAUUUUAUUGAAGAAUGUGUGGUUGAAAUGAUGUCAAAUCACAGUUGAAAAAUGUAUUUUUUCGAAAAUAAUGUGGAUCAAACAAGCCCUUAGUUAAAGAUCUUUAGUUCAACCUUGGAACAUACUAAGCAUCACACGAACAUUAAAAAUAACAAUGCAGAAAUUUUUCUUACUAACCUUCAUUUUUGCUUCAGAUUCCAUCAUUACUUAGCUUAAAUGAGACAGAUAUAACAUCGGCUUCGCUCAGAUUUCCACAGGCCUAAAUAAAACUCUAAAGCAAAGACAUAAGUAUAUAUUAUCUGAAUCAACUGUCCUCAAAAGCAUGAAAAAAGACUACACUAAUAAAGAGUAUAAAUUGAUGGAUAGUACUCUUUAAAUUAUUAAAUAUUUAUGACAAUUGUGGUAUAAGUAGAGUCAGAGGGGAUGCUUAAUUUCAAAUUUAUUCAUUUUAUAUUUUUCAAACCAAAAUUAUAUAGAUUGGUGUUUUAAGAUGAGAUGUUAAAACCCGAGAUAAUUUCUUUGAUUAACAGUAGUUAUGACGCAUGAAAUUAGACAUGACCAGCUGAUGGAAGAAAGUAGUAUGCUAAUAGUUUUUAACAUGUAGAAUAUUGAUAAGAGGAGCAGUCCAAGAAGACAAACGAGAACUAACCGAUAAUUUUCUACAUAAACUAAACCACCAACCAUAUGUGCUCAUACAAUCAUCUCACAUGAAAUAACCAGAAUGUUAAAAUGUUUCGAUUUAAUGGGAAAGAAUGCAUCAUAACAAAUAGUACAUGGCAUGCCAUAAGUGAAUAGUGGUUCAUAUAUCUUAAUAUAACUCAGUUUAACUUUAAACGGCAUUUUGCGAUAACGCUUAAUCUCAAAUAAAAUAAAGAGUACAUAUUGGAAAGCAAAAGAAAAAAAAUCGUACUCUAAAAUGAUAUCGGGCGGAUUGCUGGGAUACAAUAAUAUGGGUCAGGAAUGAUUGUUUCUUUCUUAACUUUCCUUCAAAGCUGCAAAUAUCACAUUAGCCACUACUAAGUUGCAAAUAUUACUCGAUAGUUUUAAUUUGCCAACCUGUUUAGGAAUGACUAGAUGCCACAUCCGCAGCCAAACAUGCUACAUCGAAUGGAAAAAAGAAUUAUUGGCUCAAAUACACACAUUCCAUUCAUCGGCGAAGAAUAAAUCGGCCCUACCAUGGUUGCUUAUCAUUGAUGCACAAGCAGUAGGGACAACGACUAGUUUUGCCUGACCGUCCAGGUUGCCACGAUAAGAUACAGGAUGAAACUUACCACGCUCAAAUCAAAUUUUCAAUAUCUCAUCGUCACAACCUCUUCAUUUACUACAUAAUAUACCAACAGAACCUAUAUCCAUUUGCCUACACUUGCUGCAUUCACCUUAAUUACCACACAUGCAUAGGCUUCUCAUCUUCAAAGCCCAAUCCCUAUACCAUAAACAUACAUCCAAAACCAUAAUUCAACGCCUGAAGCCCAAAAUAAAAACUAUCAGCCAGACCCAACGAAUAUCCCCAUCUGAUAGAAGAUCGAAACAUCACAGAACAUUACUAACAUUCAAUCAAAUCAUCAGAAUGUCAAUAAAUGGUACAGAAUCGAAAGACUUACCCAAAAAUCUUCCUUUUCCUGACAAAUCGAAAGUUCAGAGCAAGAGAAGAAACCAAAAAAAUUAAAAAAUAAAAUAAAAUAAACAAUAAAUGAAACAACCUAGAAUAUAUCAAAUGAAAAUGAAGCUACACAGGAUCGAAAGAUUUAGCGAAAAUACUCAUUUCCUUACACCGAUCAUCGAACCAAUAUACGGUUUCCCGAUAAAUAAAAGAAUGCAAGCCAGAGAAAGAUGAACAGCUCAGAGAACGAAGGGCGAUGGAAUUAGAGAAAUACCUUCUUUGUAAGAAAUGACAAUGGGAAUGAUGCUACGAUUAAGCAAAUGGAUUUUUCUGUCGAGCAAAUAGUGGGAAAUGGCUCACUAACAG